GACGAACGCUGGCGGCGUGCUUAACACAUGCAAGUCGUACGGUAAGGCCCUUUCGGGGGUACACGAGUGGCGAACGGGUGAGUAACACGUGAGUAACCUGCCCACAACUUUGGGAUAACGCUAGGAAACUGGUGCUAAUACUGGAUAUGUGCUCCUGCUGCAUGGUGGGGGUUGGAAAGCUCCGGCGGUUGUGGAUGGACUCGCGGCCUAUCAGCUUGUUGGUGGGGUAGUGGCCUACCAAGGCGGCGACGGGUAGCCGGCCUGAGAGGGUGACCGGCCACAUUGGGACUGAGAUACGGCCCAGACUCCUACGGGAGGCAGCAGUGGGGAAUAUUGCACAAUGGGCGCAAGCCUGAUGCAGCAACGCCGCGUGCGGGAUGACGGCCUUCGGGUUGUAAACCGCUUUCAGCAGGGACGAAGCUUUUUGUGACGGUACCUGCAGAAGAAGUACCGGCUAACUACGUG
rnacentral:rRNA from 1 species